UACGUAGGGUGCAAGCGUUGUCCGGAUUUAUUGGGUUUAAAGGGUGCGUAGGCGGCCCUGUAAGUCAGUGGUGAAAUACUCCAGCUUAACUGGAGGGGUGCCAUUGAUACUGCGGAGCUUGAGUACAGAUGAGGUAGGCGGAAUUGACGGUGUAGCGGUGAAAUGCUUAGAUAUCGUCAAGAACACCGAUAGCGAAGGCAGCUUACUGGGCUGUAACUGACGCUGAGGCACGAAAGUGUGGGGAUCAAACAGG
rnacentral:rRNA from 1 species